CUCAAAACAGUUCCUUUGCUUCUUCCUUUUGUUUCUCUAAUUGUCUUAAAAUUCCUCUCGUUCCCUUAUUCCUAUAAACUAGGAAUUCAUAGUUCUAUCGACUAGAAGUUUUGGAUCAAGUGGUAUUAGAGCACCAGAUCCGAGAGGGUGACGGUGGUUCAUGGUCUCAACUCGCAACCAACGCAAAGCUUUUGGAGAAGAACUUUUAGGUCCUUUGCUCGUACACCGAAAGCCAAGGUCCAAGAGAGACAUUAUGGCUGGAGAAAACAAACAGGAUACAUCCAGUGAUGGCGAUCGCAGCACUAAACUUGAGCAACAAGUUGAAAACUUGUCUGCAACAAUCCUUAAACUCGUGGAGAGUUUGAAGACUGGAAAAUCUUCACGUCCAUCAACUUCAUCUGAGCCUGAUCAAAAGCUCAAGAAAAAGGUUGUUGAGGAUAGCGAAGAUGAAGAUGACAUACAAGCUGAUCCAACGAAAAAGAAAGCUGAAUCAGGUGACAAUAAAAAUUCUAUUGAUACCUUAAAGAUUGAUUUUAAGGUUGACAUCCCUAUAUAUAAAGGAGAUGUUGAUCCUGAAAAGCUAGAUAACUGGAUAGACACAUUAGAAACUUAUUUCACAAUUUAUAAGUAUUCUAAUGUGCAAAAAAUAAAAUAUGCGAGUUUGAAACUUUCAAGCCAUGCCCUUACAUGGUGGAAGUCCUAUCAGAGACGGUAUGAUGUCUUAGAAUUGACUUGGAAGAACUUCAAGAAGCUUUUGAGAAAACAAUUUUAUCCAGUUGGCUAUGAAGAUGAAAGAUGGUAUAAGUGGCAACACUUCAGACAAAGAUUUGGGCAACCUGUACAAGAGAAUACAACAGAGUUCCACAACCAAGCUAUGGUUCUGGACAUUGACGUCGAUGACUACGACGUUUUCAUGAAGUAUACCGGAGGUCUUGCCGACCACAUACGGAAAGAACUAAAAUUGUUCACCGUAGACACCAUUGAAGAAGCUACUGUGAAGGCCAUCGCCAUUGAGGUAAAAAAUAAAAGAACUGACAAGAAGGAUGACAGAUCAAAACCUGUCAACAAAACUGACUGGCAGAAAAAUGGGACGCGGAGCAAGGAAGGUCAGACACAGAAGGUCUACUGUGAUCACUGUCAAACCAGCAGACAUGCCAAAGACAAGUGUUGGAUACUCCAUCCUGAGUUACGGCCAAAGCGCGAGAAAAACAACCAGGGGAGAAAUGACAGAAAAGCCACCUUAACUGCACAGCAGGUAGAAGAGCUUCCAGAGUUGAAACACCCUGAUGUUACACUUACCCUUAUGACAAGACCAGCAGAUACUGAAGACACAUACAACCGUGAAGAGUUGUUUCAUGUGAAUAUUCAGGUGAAGCAAAGUGUUGUACAAGCUAUUAUUGACCCUGGAAGUCAGAAAAACCUGAUUUCAGAGGCUUUAGUAAGAAAAGUGGGUUUAAACACCACACCACAUCCUAAGCCGUACCCGUUAGGAUGGAUUCAGAAGGAUGUUGACUUACAG
rnacentral:lncRNA from 1 species